UACGGAGGGCGCGAGCGUUACCCGGAUUUACUGGGCGUAAAGGGCGUGUAGGCGGCUUGGGGCGUCCCAUGUGAAAGGCCACGGCUCAACCGUGGAGGAGCGUGGGAUACGCUCAGGCUAGACGGUGGGAGAGGGUGGUGGAAUUCCCGGAGUAGCGGUGAAAUGCGCAGAUACCGGGAGGAACGCCGAUGGCGAAGGAAGCCACCUGGUCCACAUGUGACGUUGAGGCGCGAAAGCGUGGGGAGCAAACCGG
rnacentral:rRNA from 1 species